rnacentral:lncRNA from 10 species
UAAAGGUUACAAGUGUGCCUGCUCUCCUGCCUCUUUCAGCGCCUCCACCUCUCCUGCCUCUGACACUCCUGAGACAGCAAGACCAACCCCUUCUCUUCCUCCUCCUCUUCAGUUUACAAAACAUGAAGACAAAAAGGAUGAAGACCUUUAUGAUGAUCCACUUCUAUUUAUUAAGAACAACAUGCUGUCCUGGCUAACGUGUUUAUGAAUGCAAGAAAACUUUCAAAAAGGGAGUUUGAAAUUUAACUCCACAAACUACUAUCUGGAUUGGAAUGCUACAUUAAAUGUAUUAUAACUUUGUAUGGACUUAUAGGGAUGGGGAAUGAAAAGGAUCCAAGGCCCUAUGUUGAUAUUCUUUUGAUAUGUUAAGAAAUAAUCUAGUGUUAUUUUCUAUUUCUUCUCAAAUGUUUUUAGAGGUUACUUGGUACACUGGUCGACAAAACCUUGAAAUAUUGAUGUUUAAGGGCUGCUGAUUGCUGGCAGCAAAGAAGUCCAACUGUGCUGGCACCUGAGAUAGCGUCUCCACAUUUUCUUCCAGGAUCAUCACCUUUGUUCUAAAUAGCUCCUACACAGUGUGAAUAUUAGUCAUAUGUUUUAGAUUUUCUGCCUUGGCACCCAGGAAACCAGUAUGAUUGAGUAAACAUAUUAAACUUCCUCUGCAUUUCCAGCCUGAACAGAUGUUGAGUACGAGCUGAUCCACCUAUGUUCAACCCGAGAGAGUCCACAUCCACAGAUGGUUUCAUUUCCCUUUUUCAAUGUAUGUAAAAGCAUAGAUUCUUGCUGGCAUGUAUAAAUGUGCCAUUUAAGGCAAUCAAAAAUGGUUCCACAUCUCACUUGAUUUCCACAAUUGUUGCUGUAACGAUGGACUAUUGAGGAGAGAAACUUAAUUUCUCUGGCAGAUCUUCCCACAUUUAAGCAACAUGUUCAUGGAGAGCCAAUAUUCAGUAAUUACAGCACAAUUCCUCACAAUUUCACAAUUCGCCAACAGUAUGCAUUUUCACAAUGUAAAGCUGAUUUUCCUUUAACCAAAUGAAACAUGAAAAGGUAGCUGCAUGCAAUGGGCAAUCUAGGUCAUUAGAUGAUUGAUGUAAAAUUAGAGGACAUUGAGACUAGAAUAGAUUGCAAACAUCGGGGAGCUCAGAAAACUUGUAAACUCUACAUUUUGAGGAAAUAUGUUGUUGAUGCUUUUGCAGCUCUAUGCAGCAACCUAACAAAUAAA